UGGCCACAUCAUGUUGAAACACUGGUUCCUGUAAGAUCACUGAAUUUAAGCAACAUUGAGCCUGGUCAGUACCUAGAUAGAUGACUGCUUGGGAAUACUUGGUGCUGUAA